GACGAACCGUGCGAACGUUGUUCGGAAUCACUGGGCUUAAAGGGCGCGUAGGCGGGCGGCCGCGUCCGGGGUGAAAUCCCACGGCUCAACCGUGGAACGGCCUCGGAUACGGGCGGCCUCGAGGGGGGUAGGGGCAUCUGGAACUGUGAGUGGAGCGGUGAAAUGCGUUGAUAUUCACAGGAACUCCGGUGGCGAAGGCGAGGUGCUGGACCCCAUCUGACGCUGAGGCGCGAAAGCGUGGGGAGCAAACAGG
rnacentral:rRNA from 1 species